GUGCUUCAAAUGGUCUAUGUUGGAUAGACAAGCCGCUUUCAACCAUUUGACCUCAAAUCAGGUGGGAUUACCCGCUGAACUUAAGCAUAUCAAUAAGCGGAGGAAAAGAAACUAACAAGGAUUCCCCUAGUAACUGCGAGUGAAGCGGGAAAAGCUCAAAUUUAAAAUCUGGCAGCUUUUGGCUGUCCGAGUUKAUCUCGAGAAGGCU
rnacentral:rRNA from 1 species